rnacentral:rRNA from 2 species
AGGAAGUGCAAGCAACCGCGAUUGCUUCAGUAACGGCGAGUGAAUGGGCAACACAAUCUCAGCCUGAAGUGAAUCCCAGACUGCACUGUCCUGUGGCAGAUGCGUCCGGCUCUCUUGGGUUCUGAUGCUGUGGGCUGUGGAGCAGGUGGCAGUGAUCAGGCUUGGGCAUGCACCAGGAAUGGCCCUGGAAGGGCCUACCAGAGUGGGAUACUGUCCUUUACGAAUGCCUGUGUGUGUGCCCAGCUUGGACGUUGCUGCUUGCAUCCAGGAGUAGAGUGGCUUGGGACUGCAGUUUGAAGCGUGGGGUAUAUCCCCCAUAAGGCAGCAUACUGACAUGGGACCGAUAGUGCACAAGUAGAGUGAUCGAAGGAUGCAAAGGACUCUGCAAAGAGGGUUAAAAGCCCCUGAAGCCUCAGCAGGAACGGCGGUGAGUGGUGCUGUGGUUCUCAGCUCCAGGGUAUGUCUCCAAGGCCUCUUGUGGGUCAGCUGGGGUGCAAGGUUGCUGUGGCCUCACCCAGGUGGUGCAAGGCUGCAGUGGAUCUGCCACAGUGAAGCCCGCUCGGGUUGAGGGUUGAUGUGCCCUGGCGGCUGCUGUCCUCUGACCUGGUGGUCAACCAGGUCAAGACAGGUUGAUAGAGAGUGCUACCAAGUGCCCUUGGGCCAGCCCAGAGCUGGCCACUGAGCUCUGUCCUCCAGGAUGGGAUGCAAUCGUGGCAGCCAAGUGGUGGCAGUAUGCCUGCCCGGGCCUGAGGGAUCACUGAUGUCUCCAGAGAGUUGCAGUAGCAGUGCUGGGAAACCAUCAACCUGGUGUGUCUCCGGACAUGCCAGUGGCUGUGUUGGGUUCUGGCUGGGGUUGGUGGCUGCAUGGUGGCUGCACCAUUCUGAUGGUGGCCCUGUGUGGUUGCUGGCCCUCCAGACCUGGCAUGGUCAGAAGGCAGCUGAGCUUGGUACAAGCAGUGCCACUCUCUGCCCGUCUUGAAACACGGACCAAGGAGUCUAUGGAGCUUGCAAGCUUGCCGGUUCUCAAACCUGAAGGCGUGGUGAAGGCGAGCCAACCCCAGAUGGGUGCAUCCACUCUGCAUGGGGCACCAGUCCCAAAGUCCAGUGGACAGGGUUCUGAGUGAUUGCAAGGUCCAUGGGACCCGAAAGGUGGUGAACUAUACCGUGCUAUGAUGAAGCCGUGGGAAACUGCGGUGGAGGUCAGUCGCUGUUCUGACGUGCAAAUUGUGUAGCCUGAGUGCGGCAUAGGGGUGAAAGGCCAAUCGAGCCACCUAGUAGC